GUACACUCCUACGGGAGGCAGCAGUGGGGAAUUUUGGACAAUGGGCGAAAGCCUGAUCCAGCCAUGCCGCGUGCAGGAUGAAGGCCUUCGGGUUGUAAACUGCUUUUGUACGGAACGAAACGGCCUUUUCUAAUAAAGAGGGCUAAUGACGGUACCGUAAGAAUAAGCACCGGCUAACUACGUGCCAGCAGCCGCGGUAAUACGUAGGGUGCAAGCGUUAAUCGGAAUUACUGGGCGUAAAGCGUGCGCAGGCGGUUAUGUAAGACAGUUGUGAAAUCCCCGGGCUCAACCUGGGAACUGCAUCUGUGACUGCAUAGCUAGAGUACGGUAGAGGGGGAUGGAAUUCCGCGUGUAGCAGUGAAAUGCGUAGGUAUGCGGAGGAACACCGAUGGCGAAGGCAAUCCCCUGGACCUGUACUGACGCUCAUGCACGAAAGCGUGGGGAGCAAACAGGAUUAGAAACCCUUGUAGUCCCAUG
rnacentral:rRNA from 1 species